GACAAAAACUCAUUAUCCUCCCAAAUCAGGUCAUAAGGAGUCUUUUUUCUAUCCAGCCUCUCUGUUUCAGGAGGAACAAUAAGAAUAAGGAGCUUUGGAUUAAACUCAAGAGCUUUGUCGAUGAAUUUGUUUGCCAAAGCAGCCUUAACUCCAAAUGGAGGAUUUAGUCCCAUGAUCAAUUGCGAUCCUUUAGGCAAUUCCUUUGGUUGCACAGUCAUCCAAUCCCU
rnacentral:misc_RNA from 1 species